rnacentral:tRNA from 1 species
GGCCCACUUCACGACGGUCGUGCGGCGGCUUGCAAAGCCGUUGGACUCCGGGUUCGACUCCCGGGUGGGUCUCCA